rnacentral:rRNA from 1 species
GGGUUGUGAGGUUAAGCGACUAAGCGUACACGGUGGAUGCCCUGGCAGUCAGAGGCGAUGAAGGACGUGCUAAUCUGCGAUAAGCGUCGGUAAGGUGAUAUGAACCGUUAUAACCGGCGAUUUCCGAAUGGGGAAACCCAGUGUGAUUCGUCACACUAUCAUUAACUGAAUCCAUAGGUUAAUGAGGCGAACCGGGGGAACUGAAACAUCUAAGUACCCCGAGGAAAAGAAAUCAACCGAGAUUCCCCCAGUAGCGGCGAGCGAACGGGGAGCAGCCCAGAGCCUGAAUCAGUGUGUGUGUUAGUGGAAGCGUCUGGAAAGGCGUGCGAUACAGGGUGACAGCCCCGUACACAAAAAUGCACAUACUGUGAGCUCGAUGAGUAGGGCGGGACACGUGGUAUCCUGUCUGAAUAUGGGGGGACCAUCCUCCAAGGCUAAAUACUCCUGACUGACCGAUAGUGAACCAGUACCGUGAGGGAAAGGCGAAAAGAACCCCGGCGAGGGGAGUGAAAAAGAACCUGAAACCGUGUACGUACAAGCAGUGGGAGCACGCUUAGGCGUGUGACUGCGUACCUUUUGUAUAAUGGGUCAGCGACUUAUAUUCUGUAGCAAGGUUAACCGAAUAGGGGAGCCGAAGGGAAACCGAGUCUUAACUGGGCGUUAAGUUGCAGGGUAUAGACCCGAAACCCGGUGAUCUAGCCAUGGGCAGGUUGAAGGUUGGGUAACACUAACUGGAGGACCGAACCGACUAAUGUUGAAAAAUUAGCGGAUGACUUGUGGCUGGGGGUGAAAGGCCAAUCAAACCGGGAGAUAGCUGGUUCUCCCCGAAAGCUAUUUAGGUAGCGCCUCGUGAAUUCAUCUCCGGGGGUAGAGCACUGUUUCGGCAAGGGGGUCAUCCCGACUUACCAACCCGAUGCAAACUGCGAAUACCGGAGAAUGUUAUUACGGGAGACACACGGCGGGUGCUAACGUCCGUCGUGAAGAGGGAAACAACCCAGACCGCCAGCUAAGGUCCCAAAGUCAUGGUUAAGUGGGAAACGAUGUGGGAAGGCCCAGACAGCCAGGAUGUUGGCUUAGAAGCAGCCAUCAUUUAAAGAAAGCGUAAUAGCUCACUGGUCGAGUCGGCCUGCGCGGAAGAUGUAACGGGGCUAAACCAUGCACCGAAGCUGCGGCAGCGACGCUUAUGCGUUGUUGGGUAGGGGAGCGUUCUGUAAGCCUGUGAAGGUGUGCUGUGAGGUAUGCUGGAGGUAUCAGAAGUGCGAAUGCUGACAUAAGUAACGAUAAAGCGGGUGAAAAGCCCGCUCGCCGGAAGACCAAGGGUUCCUGUCCAACGUUAAUCGGGGCAGGGUGAGUCGACCCUAAGGCGAGGCCGAAAGGCGUAGUCGAUGGGAAACAGGUUAAUAUUCCUGUACUUGGUGUUACUGCGAAGGGGGACGGAGAAGGCUAUGUUGGCCGGGCGACGGUUGUCCCGGUUUAAGCGUGUAGGCUGGUUUUCCAGGCAAAUCCGGAAAAUCAAGGCCGAGGCGUGAUGACGAGGCACUACGGUGCUGAAGCAACAAAUGCCCUGCUUCCAGGAAAAGCCUCUAAGCAUCAGGUAACAUCAAAUCGUACCCCAAACCGACACAGGUGGUCAGGUAGAGAAUACCAAGGCGCUUGAGAGAACUCGGGUGAAGGAACUAGGCAAAAUGGUGCCGUAACUUCGGGAGAAGGCACGCUGAUACGUAGGUGAAGCGACUUGCUCGUGGAGCUGAAAUCAGUCGAAGAUACCAGCUGGCUGCAACUGUUUAUUAAAAACACAGCACUGUGCAAACACGAAAGUGGACGUAUACGGUGUGACGCCUGCCCGGUGCCGGAAGGUUAAUUGAUGGGGUUAGCGCAAGCGAAGCUCUUGAUCGAAGCCCCGGUAAACGGCGGCCGUAACUAUAACGGUCCUAAGGUAGCGAAAUUCCUUGUCGGGUAAGUUCCGACCUGCACGAAUGGCGUAAUGAUGGCCAGGCUGUCUCCACCCGAGACUCAGUGAAAUUGAACUCGCUGUGAAGAUGCAGUGUACCCGCGGCAAGACGGAAAGACCCGUGAACCUUUACUAUAGCUUGACACUGAACAUUGAGCCUUGAUGUGUAGGAUAGGUGGGAGGCUUUGAAGUGUGGACGCCAGUCUGCAUGGAGCCGACCUUGAAAUACCACCCUUUAAUGUUUGAUGUUCUAACGUGGACCCGUGAUCCGGGUUGCGGACAGUGUCUGGUGGGUAGUUUGACUGGGGCGGUCUCCUCCUAAAGAGUAACGGAGGAGCACGAAGGUUGGCUAAUCCUGGUCGGACAUCAGGAGGUUAGUGCAAUGGCAUAAGCCAGCUUGACUGCGAGCGUGACGGCGCGAGCAGGUGCGAAAGCAGGUCAUAGUGAUCCGGUGGUUCUGAAUGGAAGGGCCAUCGCUCAACGGAUAAAAGGUACUCCGGGGAUAACAGGCUGAUACCGCCCAAGAGUUCAUAUCGACGGCGGUGUUUGGCACCUCGAUGUCGGCUCAUCACAUCCUGGGGCUGAAGUAGGUCCCAAGGGUAUGGCUGUUCGCCAUUUAAAGUGGUACGCGAGCUGGGUUUAGAACGUCGUGAGACAGUUCGGUCCCUAUCUGCCGUGGGCGCUGGAGAACUGAGGGGGGCUGCUCCUAGUACGAGAGGACCGGAGUGGACGCAUCACUGGUGUUCGGGUUGUCAUGCCAAUGGCACUGCCCGGUAGCUAAAUGCGGAAGAGAUAAGUGCUGAAAGCAUCUAAGCACGAAACUUGCCCCGAGAUGAGUUCUCCCUGACCCUUUAAGGGUCCUGAAGGAACGUUGAAGACGACGACGUUGAUAGGCCGGGUGUGUAAGCGCAGCGAUGCGUUGAGCUAACCGGUACUAAUGAACCGUGAGGCUUAACCUUACAACGCCGAAG